rnacentral:rRNA from 1 species
UACGAACUGUGCAAACGUUAUUCGGAAUCACUGGGCUUAAAGGGUGCGUAGGCGGCCAGAUAAGUAGGGUGUGAAAGCCCCCGGCUCAACCGGGGAAUGGCGCUCUAAACUGUCUGGCUGGAGUGAGAUAGGGGUGUGCGGAACUUCCGGUGGAGCGGUGAAAUGUGUUGAUAUCGGAAGGAACGCCGGUGGCGAAAGCGGCACACUGGAUCUCAACUGACGCUGAGGCACGAAAGCCAGGGGAGCAAACGGG